rnacentral:lncRNA from 1 species
GGGACACUAUGAUUUGACUCGGACCUAUUAUCUAUUGACAUUUGAUUUGAGCACUCAUGUUUUUGGCAGUAUUGCAUUGCCAUUCAAAACUGUGCUAUCUGUUGCACCAACACCCAUCCAAGGUUCUAUAGCUGCGGUUUCUUCGCGAGCUGCACCAACACCCAUCCAAGGUUCUAUACCUUCGCUAGCUGAUUUUGCUAAUCAGAUUUGGUUGAUGAAAGAUGCUUCUUGGUCUGCUUUUUUGAAUUUUAAAAAAGAUCAAGUUAGGGCACAUUUAUCAAGUGUUUUGCAAUUGAGCACGAGUGAUGAUCUUGUUUUCUACAGC